UACAGAGGUCUCAAGCGUUGUUCGGAUUCAUUGGGCGUAGAGGGUGCGCAGGCGGUUUUGUAAGCCAGAUGUGAAAGCCCCGGGCUUAACCUGGGAAUGGCAUUUGGGACUGCAAGGCUGGAGUGUGGCAGAGGAGACUGGAAUUCCUGGUGUAGCAGUGAAAUGCGUAGAUAUCAGGAGGAACACCGAUGGCGAAGGCAGGUCUCUGGGCUGACACUGACGCUCAUGCACGAAAGCGUGGGGAGCAAACAGG
rnacentral:rRNA from 1 species